rnacentral:lncRNA from 1 species
CUAUAUUUCCAUAAGCUUAUGUUUGAGAUUGACUUUGGUUUUAUAACUUAACUUUUAUAUUAAGUUUGAUUGAAUAAUAAUAAUUAUGCAAUUGUAAAUUCCUAUUCAAAGUUGAAUUUUUUUUUUUUUUGGAAUAUAUUCAAAGUUGAAUUAGCUAAUCACUUUUAUUUACUUAGCUAUCUUUGGCGCAAUUGUAUCAUUUAUGAUAGUAAAUUUGAUUUACGAAAAUCUUUUAUAAAACCACGUUUCCAAAUAAUUUGUAAGAGGGAAACUAUUCAACCCUCCUCCCUUAUAGAUUCGCAUUAUCCCUGUCAUAUGGACCAACAAUAGUUCGAAUCUUUCAAGGAAUUUGAGUUUCUCAAAGUUACAAAGGACACAAGAAGCUUUCUUUUCUCCUCUAUAAGCUAUGGGUUUUUUCUAGUUCAUCAAUAUCUAGGAAAAUCGAAGGAAUCUAGAUGGAAAAAGAAAUCUUGACGAAGAUUACAAAAGGAUCUCAUAUGAUUGAAGGAUUGAGGUGUUCACUUUAUGAAUUUUAGGCUCGGAUCAAGUUGAAGAUUAUCUUUUUCUUUUCACAUGAAUCCCUAAGGGUCCCUAACUUAGUUUGAAAAAGAUUUAAACGGUGAAACAUAUCAAAUGAAAAUAUAACUAAAAUCAUAAUGAAUAAGAAAUUAAUUUAAUCCAACAAAUAAAUAGAGAUCAAUCCUAUAACUCUAAUCUUAGAGGUUUAGUUACUCAUUGUGAUCAACAUAACAAAAGAAAUUAAAAGCACUCUCUGGAGAACAAAAGGAGGAAGAAACCCUUCCUUGAAGCUCUGAUGCUUGACCCUUGCCUUGUACUGCCAACUUUCUGAAUGAAUAAAAUAGUGUGCAAGGGUCUCUUUUUAUAAUGCAUGAUUACUUAGGGGUUAAGAGAGUGAAAAAUAUGGGUUUUCCACCUAAAACAGCUUGGAAAACAAGAAAACAACACUUCUUCCCCAUGUUCAAGCACAAGGCGCAUGGUUUGGUGUGCAGGGGUGCAUGGGGCAAUGAUGGUUGUUGUCCCAUGCGCAGGGGCGCAUGAGGUAGCUCAUCCUGCGCAAAUUCAACAGUUUUCGACCCUUUUUCACGCGUUCUUCUGUCUUGCAAAACCUUGGAACUUUAAAUGAACUUUCUUCACUUUCUGUUGUCUUUAAAUACCUUAUAAGAACC